GAUGAACGCUGGCGGCGUGCCUAAUACAUGCAAGUCGAGCGAACGGACGAGAAGCUUGCUUCUCUGAUGUUAGCGGCGGACGGGUGAGUAACACGUGGAUAACCUACCUAUAAGACUGGGAUAACUUCGGGAAACCGGAGCUAAUACCGGAUGAUAUUUUGAACCGCAUGGUUCAAAAGUGAAAGACGGUCUUGCUGUCACUUAUAGAUGGAUCCGCGCUGCAUUAGCUAGUUGGUAAGGUAACGGCUUACCAAGGCAACGAUGCAUAGCCGACCUGAGAGGGUGAUCGGCCACCCUGGAACUGAGACACGGUCCAGACUCCUACGGGAGGCCGCAGUAGGGAAUCUUCCGCAAUGGGCGAAAGCCUGACGGAACAACGGCGCGUGAGUGAUGAAGGUCUUCGGAUCGUAAAACUCUGUUAUUAGGGAAGAACAUAUGUGUAAGUAACUGUGCACAUCUUGACGGUACCUAAUCAGAAAGCCACGGCUAACUACGUG
rnacentral:rRNA from 1 species